UCUGAAGCAAAAGUCAAGGUGGUCGUCAUUUGGAAUGAUGCAGAGAAGAUUAGCAUGGGCUCUGUGCAAGGAUGGCAUGCAAAUUCAUAAAGUGUUCCAUAUUUUU